CUGUGAGGUUAAAGUGCAAACUGUCAGCUUUCAUUUAAGGGUUUGUUCAUCCAUAUCGGCUGAACCGUCUAGAAAUUACAGCACUUUUUCCACGUAGUCUCCCAUUUCAAGGGGACCAAAAGUAUUAGGAUAUAUUCACUUGUGUGUAUUAAAGUAGUCCCAUAUUACUGUCACACAAUGACGACAUCAAGCUUGUGACUCUACAAACUGGUUGGAUCCAUUUUCUGUUUGUUUUGGUUGCGUUUCACAUUAUUUGGUUCCCGAUAGAAAUUCAUGUUAAAUAAUGUAUUGUCUCAUUUUAGAGUCACUUUUAUUGUAAAUAAGAAUGGAAUAUAUUUCUAAACACGAAUACAUUAAUGUGGAUCCUAUCAUGGUUACGGAUAGUCAAGUAUGAAUUGUGAAUAAUGAGUGACUGAGAAAGUUACAGACCCAUAAGUAUCAUCCCCCCAAUGCUCUCCUCCCCUCUUAUUGUAAUGGUGAGAAGAUAUCAUGUUCCUGAUAGGAAUGGUAGUAGUUUAAUAUAGUACUGAUAGGUAUAGUAGUAGUUUAAUAUAGUACUGAUAGGUAUAGUAGUAGUUUAAUAUAGUACUGAUAGGUAUAGUAGUAGUUUAAUAUAGUACUGAUAGGUAUAGUAGUAGUUUAAUAUAGUACUGAUAGGUAUAGUAGUAGUUUAAUAUAGUACUGAUAGGUAUAGUAGUAGUUUAAUAUAGUACUGAUAGGUAUAGUAGUAGUUUAAUAUAGUACUGAUAGGUAUAGUAGUAGUUUAAUAUAGUACUGAUAGGUAUAGUAGUAGUUUAAUAUAGUACUGAUAGGUAUAGUAGUAGUUUAAUAUAGUACUGAUAGGUAUAGUAGUAGUUUAAUAUAGUACUGAUAGGUAUAGUAGUAGUUUAACACAGUACUGAUAGGUAUAGUAGUAGUUUAAUAUAGUACUGAUAGGUAUAGUAGUAGUUUAAUAUAGUACUGAUAGGUAUAGUAGUAGUUUAACACAGUACUGAUAGGGAUAGUAGUAGUUU